UACGUAGGGUGCGAGCGUUGUCCGGAAUUACUGGGCGUAAAGAGCUCGUAGGCGGUUUGUCGCGUCGUCUGUGAAAUUCUGCAACUCAAUUGCAGGCGUGCAGGCGAUACGGGCAGACUUGAGUACUACAGGGGAGACUGGAAUUCCUGGUGUAGCGGUGAAAUGCGCAGAUAUCAGGAGGAACACCGGUGGCGAAGGCGGCUCUCUGGACGGUGACUGACGCUGAGACGCGAAAGCGUGGGGAGCAAACAGG
rnacentral:rRNA from 1 species